rnacentral:rRNA from 1 species
AUUGAACGCUGGCGGCGUGCCUAACACAUGCAAGUCGAGCGGUAACAGGUGUAGCAAUACAUGCUGACGAGCGGCGGACGGGUGAGUAACGCUUGGGAAUCUGCCUAUUAGUGGGGGGACAACCCGGGGAAACUCGGGCUAAUACCGCAUACGCUCUACGGAGGAAAGCCGGGGACCGCAAGGCCUGGCGCUAAUAGAUGAGCCCAAGUCGGAUUAGCUAGUUGGUAGGGUAAUGGCCUACCAAGGCGACGAUCCGUAACUGGUCUGAGAGGACGACCAGUCGCACCGGAACUGAGACACGGUCCGGACUCCUACGGGAGGCAGCAGUGGGGAAUAUUGGACAAUGGGCGAAAGCCUGAUCCAGCGACGCCGCGUGGGUGAAGAAGGCCUGCGGGUUGUAAAGCCCUUUCAGUGGGGAAGAAAAGCCUCGACCUAACACGUCGGGGUCUUGACGUAACCCAUAGAAGAAGCACCGGCUAACUCUGUGCCAGCAGCCGCCGU